GGGAGCUUGCUCCCAUUUCUCAGCGGCGGACGGGUGAGUAACACGUGGGCAACCUGCCCUACAGACUGGGAUAACUCCGGGAAACCGGAGCUAAUACCGGGUAAUACGUAGCAUCGCAUGAUGCAACGUUGAAAGUUGGCCUUUGGCUAACACUGUAGGAUGGGCCCGCGGCGCAUUAGCUAGUUGGUAAGGUAACGGCUUACCAAGGCCACGAUGCGUAGCCGACCUGAGAGGGUGAUCGGCCACACUGGGACUGAGACACGGCCCAGACUCCUACGGGAGGCAGCAGUAGGGAAUCUUCCGCAAUGGACGAAAGUCUGACGGAGCAACGCCGCGUGAGUGACGAAGGCCUUCGGGUCGUAAAGCUCUGUUGUUAGGGAAGAACAAGUACCGUUCGAAUAGGGCGGUACCUUGACGGUACCUAACCAGAAAGCCACGGCUAACUACGUGCCAGCAGCCGCGGUAAUACGUAGGUGGCAAGCGUUGUCCGGAAUUAUUGGGCGUAAAGCGCGCGCAGGCGGUCUCUUAAGUCUGAUGUGAAAGCCCACGGCUCAACCGUGGAGGGCCAUUGGAAACUGGGGGACUUGAGUGCAGAAGAGGAGAGUGGAAUUCCACGUGUAGCGGUGAAAUGCGUAGAUAUGUGGAGGAACACCAGUGGCGAAGGCGGCUCUCUGGUCUGUAACUGACGCUGAGGCGCGAAAGCGUGGGGAGCGAACAGGAUUAGAUACCCUGGUAGUCCACGCCGUAAACGAUGAGUGCUAGUGUGUUGGGGGGUUCCACCCUCAGUUGCUGAAGUUAACACAUUAAGCACUCCGCCUGGGGAGUACGACCGCAAGGUUGAAACUCAAAGGAAUUGACGGGGGCCCGCACAAGCAGUGGAGCAUGUGGUUUAAUUCGAAGCAACGCGAAGAACCUUACCAGGUCUUGACAUCCUCUGCCACUCCUAGAGAUAGGACGUUCCCCUUC
rnacentral:rRNA from 1 species